GUUCGAGCGUCAUUAUAACCACUCAAGCCUCGGCUUGGUAUUGGGGUUCGCGGUCUCGCGGCUCUUAAAAUCAGUGGCGGUGCGUCUGGCUCUAAGCGUAGUAAUUUCUCUCGCUAUAGGGUCCAGGUGGUUACUUGCCAAAACCCCCCAUAUUCUUUAAGGUUGACCUCGGAUCAGGUAGGGAUACCCGCUGAACUUAA
rnacentral:misc_RNA from 1 species